UACGUAGGGGGCAAGCGUUGUCCGGAAUCAUUGGGCGUAAAGAGCGUGUAGGCGGCCCGGUAAGUCCGCUGUGAAAGUCCAGGGCUCAACCCUGGAAUGCCGGUGGAAACUGUCGGGCUAGAGUCCGGAAGAGGCGAGUGGAAUUCCUGGUGUAGCGGUGAAAUGCGCAGAUAUCAGGAGGAACACCAAUGGCGAAGGCAGCUCGCUGGGACGGUACUGACGCUGAGGAGCGAAAGCGUGGGGAGCGAACAGG
rnacentral:rRNA from 1 species